rnacentral:rRNA from 1 species
UACGUAGGCAGCGAGCGUUGUUCGGAGUUACUGGGCGUAAAGGGUGUGUAGGCGGUUGUUUAAGUUUGGUGUGAAAUCUCCCGGCUCAACUGGGAGGGUGCGCCGAAUACUGAGCGACUAGAGUGCGGGAGAGGAAAGUGGAAUUCCUGGUGUAGCGGUGAAAUGCGUAGAUAUCAGGAGGAACACCGGUGGUGUAGACGGCUUUCUGGACCGUAACUGACGCUGAGACACGAAAGGCGUGGGUAGCAAACAGG